rnacentral:rRNA from 1 species
CCUACGGGAGGCAGCAGUGGGGAAUAUUGGACAAUGGGGGCAACCCUGAUCCAGCCAUGCCGCGUGUGUGAAGAAGGCCCUCGGGUUGUAAAGCACUUUCAGUGAGGAAGAACGCCUGGUGGUUAAUACCCAUCAGGAAAGACAUCACUCACAGAAGAAGCACCGGCUAACUCCGUGCCAGCAGCCGCGGUAAUACGGAGGGUGCGAGCGUUAAUCGGAAUUACUGGGCGUAAAGCGCGCGUAGGUGGCUUGAUAAGCCGGUUGUGAAAACCCCGGGCUCAACCUGGGAACGGCAUCCGGAACUGUCAAGCUAGAGUGCAGGAGAGGAAGGUAGAAUUCCCGGUGUAGCGGUGAAAUGCGUAGAGGUCGGGAGGAAUACCAGUGGCGAAGGCGGCCUUCUGGACUGACACUGACACUGAGGUGCGAAAGCGUGGGUAGCAAACAGGAUUAGAUACCCUGGUAGUC